UACGUAGGGACCGAGCGUUGUCCGGAUUCAUUGGGCGUAAAGAGCUCGUAGGCGGCCACUCAAGUCGAAUGUGAAACCUCGAGGCUUAACCUCGAGCCUGCAUUCGAUACUGGGCGGCUAGAGUCUGGUAGGGGGAUCUGGAAUUCCUGGUGUAGCGGUGGAAUGCGCAGAUAUCAGGAGGAACACCGGUGGCGAAGGCGGGAUCCUGGGCCAGUACUGACGCUGAGGAGCGAAGGCCAGGGGAGCAAACGGG
rnacentral:rRNA from 1 species